GCGAGUGUACUGUAUAUAUGUUUUAAAAAUACAAUACUGGAAAAGGCAGGAAACUGUACCAACAAAUGGGGUAUUUUUAGGGGGGAGGGGGUUCAGUUCAACUUAAAUAUAGUAUUUUGCCAGUAAUUUUGUGCUAAAUUAAUGCUGUACUGUAUAAUAGGUAAAUGAUUAAACUUGAACAGUAACUAUUGUGUACCGAUCAUAGUUAAUGUUACUGAUCAAAUAUUACAGGUUAUAGCCUACCUACUAAUUGUGCUGCGAGUGUUGUUCUCUGAAUUGUUGUUAUACAAGUUGAUUUGUCUUGAUAUAAGUGGAUAUUUGGACUUGAUAUAAGUAUAAUUUGUCUAUAAAGGUUGACGGUUUAAUGACUUAUUUCAGAUUUGAGUGGGAGGUGGAUGACCUUUGUAGGGUAUUUGACCUUGGCUGAAGCCUUUAUAUACAAUAUACAGAAGUGUGUGGGAGGUGGAAGAGCAUUCUUGGCUAUUUGACAUUGGCUGAAGUCUUAUAAAGAUUUGAAAGUAACACCACACAUGGUGGAGCUAUUUAACUCUGCAAUCACGUACGAGAAGGAAGAACCAGGGGACGGUGACGAACUGGACUCCACCAUUAUCAUGCUCCACCACCAUUUGAGUUUAUGAUUUGGCCGUGAAGCUUGUCGUACAUGUGGCAACCCUGUUCCUAUGCGAUUUGAGUGGGAGGUGGAUGACCUUUGUAGGGUAUUUGACCUUGGCUGAAGCCUUUAUAUACAAUAUACAGAAGUGUGUGGGAGGUGGAAGAGCAUUCUUGGCUAUUUGACAUUGGCUGAAGUCUUAUAAAGUGUUGAAGAAGAAGAAGGAGGGGGGUCCACGACGUUGUUGCUGUCACUUACUCGAAUCAGUUAUCUCUGGGACUCGCUAAGACUAGUUGUCAAAUUUUUCUACUUCGGCCGUGGAAAGUGUAUCAGUUUUCCCCCGUCUCUGAAAACCUGAGGGGGGAAAUUCACCCUGGUUGAGAACCCCUGCUUUAUAGUUUACAAAGCCAUCUGAGUUACUUUCUGAAAUUCUGAUUGAUAGUUUUCAAAAUGAUUAGUUUUUGCAAAGUGUCUUACGACAGUGGUAGAAAAUAUAACAAAUUAUGGGAAGAAAAAUUCGUCUGUGUUAGUAUAGCCAGUGAUGGAAGUGAAAAUGGUCCAGUUCCAAGGAAAAUGUUGCAGAGAUUUGAAAGUAACACCACACAUGGUGGAGCUAUUUAACUCUGCAAUCAUGUACGAGAAGGAAGAACCAGGGGACGGUGACGAACUGGACUCCACCAUUAUCAUGCUCCACCACCAUUUGAGUUUACGAAGUGUGUGGGAGGUGGAAGAGCAUUCUUGGCUAUUUGACAUUGGCUGAAGUCUUAUACAGUGUAGAAGAAGAAGAAGGAGGGGGGUCCACGACGUUGUUGCUGUCACUUACUCGAAUCAGUUAUCUCUGGGACUCGCUAAGACUAGUUGUCAAAUUUUUGUACUUCGGCCGUGGAAAGUGGUUGGUCACGGCCAAACUAUUUGGCCGAAUUUUGUGUUAAUACCUCAUCUAGUGGAUUUUGAAGACAUGUCUAACAGAUUUUCAAAUUUCUCAAUUGAAACGUGUCCAGCAUAUGGGUUAAGCUUUAUAGCAGUGGUUCUCAACCUUGUUUGCUCCAUGCACUCUUUUCACCAUAUGUCAGAAUGUCAUUCCUCCCUCCUUUCCAAGAUUGUCUGCCUCAAAAAUUGCAUUCCAAAUAAUAUGCAUAUAAUACUGAAAAUCCUUUAUUAUUUCCAUAUUAGUAUCAGUUUUCCCCCGUCUCUGAAAACCUGAGGGGGGAAAUUCACCCUGGUUGAGAACCCCUGCUUUAUAGUUUACAAAGCCAUCUGAGUUACUUUCUGAAAUUCUGAUUGAUAGUUUUCAAAAUGAUUAGUUUUUGCAAAGUGUCUUACGACAGUGGUAGAAAAUAUAACAAAUUAUGGGAAGAAAAAUUUGUCUGUGUUAGUAUAGCCAGUGAUGGAAGUGAAAAUGCUCCAGUUCCAAGGAAAAUGUUGCAGAUUUGAAAGUAACACCACACAUGGUGGAGCUGUUUAACUCUGCAAUCACGUACGAGAAGGAAGAACCAGGGGACGGUGACGAACUGGACUCCACCAUUAUCAUGCUCCACCACCAUUUGAGUUUAUGAUUUGGCCGUGAAGCUUGUCGUACAUGUGGCAACCCUGUUCCUAUGCGAUUUGAGUGGGAGGUGGAUGACCUUUGUAGGGUAUUUGACCUUGGCUGAAGCCUUUAUAUACAAUAUACAGAAGUGUGUGGGAGGUGGAAGAGCAUUCUUGGCUAUUUGACAUUGGCUGAAGUCUUAUAAAGGUGAGCAUAACUAUUGUUGUACAAUGUUCCUGACUUGCAUAACCUGUUGGAAGAGAAUUAUGAGCAAAAUUUGUUGUAUUCAUAAGUUUCAAGAAUGGAUAUUUAAUUAUUAUAGAAAGUGUGGCUCAUGUAAGGUUAGAUUUUAUACUACUACUGUGGUAAGGCUACAUGAAUAGUAGUUUAGGCAAAGUAAUUAUAUCUAAUGUAGAAGCCAAAGUGUGUAUAGUUAAAAUUUGUAUAUACGAUGAAGUUUGUAUUAUAGUUAAUCAUUCGGACGAAGUGGUGUGCGGUGGGUGGGAAGGAGGGGGGUCCACGACGUUGUUGCUGUCACUUACUCGAAUCGGUUAUCUCUGGGACUCGCUAAGACUAGUUGUCAAAUUUUUCUACUUCGGCCGUGGAAAGUGGUUGGUCACGGCCAAACUAUUUGGCCGAAUUUUGUGUUAAUACCUCAUCUAGUGGAUUUUGAAGACAUGUCUAACAGAUUUUCAAAUUUCUCAAUUGAAAGUUUUUGCAAAGUGUCUUACGACAGUGGUAGAAAAUAUAACAAAUUAUGGGAAGAAAAAUUCGUCUGUGUUAGUAUAGCCAGUGAUGGAAGUGAAAAUGCUCCAGUUCCAAGGAAAAUGUUGCAGAGAUUUGAAAGUAACACCACACAUGGUGGAGCUAUUUAACUCUGCAAUCACGUACGAGAAGGAAGAACCAGGGGACGGUGACGAACUGGACUCCACCAUUAUCAUGCUCCACCACCAUUUGAGUUUACGAUUUGGCCGUGAAGCUUGUCGUACAUGUGGCAACCCUGUUCCUAUACGGUAUGUGUUAAUUGUGGUUAAUUUCAUGUUCACGAAGAUUUAAUGUUAAAUAUUUUAAGUGUUUAUUCGGACGUACUUCACAAGAUUUGGUAUAUAUUUUGGCUAUAGAGACGUACUGUAGAUGUGUGUUCUUAUUUUAUUGCAUUACAGUUGUACAAAGACUACAUUACUUAAUUUUUAGUUACAAUAUUAUUCAUUCGAGGACCGUGAAGACGAGUACACAAGACUGUUAGUUUCCGUUAACGGAACUGUUGUUGCACAAAAUCGGAAACAUUCUGCUAUAACUUAAAGUAGGCCUACAGUACUGUAGCUGUCGUUGUGGUUUUAGUUUUGUUUAAGGAUUUGUUCACCUUUAAAAAAAAAAAUAGAGUAAUUGUUAACUUACUUUGAAAUAAUUACAUAUUUAAAGUAUGCUUUGCUUGUAGGUUUUAAAAAGCCUUUAUAGAUACAGGGUAUUCUUAAAUAUGUAGACCAUCUUUACGAUACGAAGAAGUUAGUUUUCACGUUGUCAAAAUAUUGAUUUUUCCAAAAAUAAGCUUGACCUAAAUCCCUUAGUCUCCAGCAUUUGUAAGAAAGUAGUUUAAAUUUCAUACUAAGGUACUUUACACGAUUUUAAAUCUUGGUAAUUGUGUUAAUAUGAGGGCAACUGGUGAACUCUUUUAAUGCUGGCUGACUGGCUUUUCCUCUAGUCUUCCUACGCUGCCAGACAUACCAUGCAAUGCCUGCCUCGGCCCCAGCUUGCUGGCAG